rnacentral:rRNA from 1 species
CAGGUGCAUGCCUCUAGCAUGAAGUCAGACAAG